AGAUUGAACGCUGGCGGCAGGCUUAACACAUGCAAGUCGAGCGGGGAAAGGUAGCUUGCUACCUGACCUAGCGGCGGACGGGUGAGUAAUGCUUAGGAAUCUGCCUAUUAGUGGGGGACAACAUUCCGAAAGGAAUGCUAAUACCGCAUACGCCCUACGGGGGAAAGCAGGGGAUCUUCGGACCUUGCGCUAAUAGAUGAGCCUAAGUCAGAUUAGCUAGUUGGUGGGGUAAAGGCCUACCAAGGCGACGAUCUGUAGCGGGUCUGAGAGGAUGAUCCGCCACACUGGGACUGAGACACGGCCCAGACUCCUACGGGAGGCAGCAGUGGGGAAUAUUGGACAAUGGGCGAAAGCCUGAUCCAGCCAUGCCGCGUGUGUGAAGAAGGCCUUUUGGUUGUAAAGCACUUUAAGCGAGGAGGAGGCUACUUAGAUUAAUACUCUAGGAUAGUGGACGUUACUCGCAGAAUAAGCACCGGCUAACUCUGUGCCAGCAGCCGCGGUAAUACAGAGGGUGCGAGCGUUAAUCGGAUUUACUGGGCGUAAAGCGUGCGUAGGCGGCUUCUUAAGUCGGAUGUGAAAUCCCUGAGCUUAACUUAGGAAUUGCAUUCGAUACUGGGAAGCUAGAGUAUGGGAGAGGAUGGUAGAAUUCCAGGUGUAGCGGUGAAAUGCGUAGAGAUCUGGAGGAAUACCGAUGGCGAAGGCAGCCAUC
rnacentral:rRNA from 1 species